AAUGGAUAUGAUUAAUUUGACGUAUUUUGACUUAGAUAAUUACUCUAAUUAAAUAAAAAGAAAACAAAUAGUUUUCGGAUGAAACCCAUACAACAUUGUGAUUUGUGAGACACUUCAUGUUGUUAUUGGUUAAUCAUAGAGAUAACCCUAGUCGUUAAUAGUCCUUUUAGGGUAGACGAUCGUCGGAGAGACAGCUUCCCACUUUAAUUUAAAACCAC
rnacentral:lncRNA from 1 species